rnacentral:misc_RNA from 1 species
CCUCUUCGUGUCAUGCGCAACACGCGCACACGCAUACACACGAUUUCUGGGCAAGUCGAGGCAGAGGUAGUAGUCGGGAAGGCGGCGACAGCACCGCAGUGCGCCUCACGCUGUCUAUCUCCCGCAGGCUCGUUCUUUUUUUUUCUGUGCGUCCGCAGCCGCCGCUCUGCUACGAGGAAGAGAUAGGCGAGGUGAGGCAUGUAAUCCUCAUCGCUCCACCCCUCCGUCUUUCCAUACGUGGGUCUCAUGAGCACGCGCCGCGGCACGACGGCAGCUGCUCAUGCCCCUGUCCAACCCUCGCUGCGCGCCCUCGAUGAACAUGUGCAGAUGCUGCGGGCAGAGGCGCGGACGGGGCUGGGCUCGCGAGAUGUACGUAGAGCACUUAUCAAGGAGGAGCUGCGACCGCCCCGCGUUGUUUGUGGCGGCGGUGGAGCACGUGGCCCAAAGGCGCCGUCGCUUACCACCGGCUCUGCAGCCUCCGGAUCCGUGACUGCAUCAGCAGGAGCGGACGGCGGCAUCGCUGACAUACCGUCCGCGUGGUUAGAAGGCGACUUCCACCUCAAGUCAGCUGUCGCUGAUGGGGGCGGAGCGGCCGCCGCGUUCCGGCCCGCCUGCGUGCGCUUCGCAGGAGAAGCAACCGCCACCAUGUCUACCGGCGCGGCACCUUUGCCACCAGACUCUAGCAACGCACUCCGCACGUACCAAGCGCUGUGCGCCGCCGCCGAUGAAGUGGACUACGACGUGUCGUACGAGGAGGCACUGCGGCAGGUAGAGGAUCGCGAUAGUCAGACGGGGCUGGCGACCACAUGGCGAACGCGGCGUCGCCCAUCGGCACCGCUGCCUUUCAGUUCGAUGGCGGUGACGGCCUCAGCGUUGAGUUGGGAUGCACGAGGGGAGCGUUCGACGUGCGCGGGCGGCGUAGAAGCAGCUGGCAAUCUCCGUUCGGCUGCGUCUCACGAGCUGUACACGAAGCCGCCGUCGCGGCCGUCUGCGGCUGGCCGCGGUACCGCUGGCCGCCUUUCUGCUGCACUUUCUGCCUCUCGGCCCGCCUUGCAGGCGUCCGUCAUAUCGGCCGCGACUUCAUCGGCGAUCACAACAACGAGAAGAAUGAAAGCGCAGGUGUCGCGCUCGUGUGGUGGUGGCGGCGGCGGCGGCGCGUUCUCCUCCUUAUCCACGGAGGGCACGGCGGUCGCGCGCAGCUCCGCGGCAACGUACGCGAUGGCGCUCCGCCAACGUGUGCAGGAGCAGCGCGAAUACGCGAGCCGCGUUGGAGGUGGCCCGCCGCGGUCGAGUUCGACCCCAGCAGUAUGGCGUGGCAGAGAGGACAAUGAGGGCAGUGGUGGAGCUGCUGCGCUCGAGUGGCGGACGCGCAUGACGGCAGCUGUGACUGUGGCAGUCUGUCCAUCAUGUGCCGCGUGGUUUGAGCGAGCGCUGCAACAGCCACAGCGGCCUCUGCCAUCGGAGGAGGCUCGACAACAGACAGCGGGGGAAUCGGAUUACGCUCCAAGGUGCUGCUGUCCUCGCUGUGGCCAUGAUGUCGACACUGCAGCCGGCGCAGACACUCCGGCGGGGGCAGGACCGCGGUGGGUCUGGGCUCCGUCUGCCGCAACAGGCCUCUCUGAAGCAAUCAAGCGAGACUUCGAUGGAACUCCUGCAAGAGUCAUUGACUCCGCUGUGGCCCGUUGCCCGCAGCAGCCAUCCUCCCCAGCCUCGGCAGCGAGGCAUCGUAUCACCAACGGCGCAGGUAGUGAGACGUGCGGCACCGACAGUGUUGGCUUCGCAGAGAGUGGCAACGGAGGUGAGGAGGAGUCCUUCGCUGCGUUGGUGGCGCGCAUCCGGGCCUCGAAGCGGAGAGCGCAGGAAGACGCGGAGGGGGGCAAUGCGACGGCCACCAGCGUCUCAGAGGCACGCGCGCGUCAGGCUCCGUUGAGCAGCGCUUCCAUAGCGCCUCUACACCCAUCUACGGAGUUAGCGCCAGCUACAGCGCCUAAGGGUGUCGGUAUCUCCCGUGUAUGCAUCGAGACUGGCAUGUCAGGCGAAACCAUGUCCUUUCCUCCAGCAGCACCACUCUCUGGGCCUCCUUCCUUGAGCGAGCUGACCUUGCCCGCCCGCGUGAACCCGUUCGCCCAGAGACUUCGUGUCGCCCUCAACCGCCUCUACUUUUACGACCUUUGGGCGAGUGCGAUAGGCGAGCAGACGUGAGUGGCCGAGAGGUGGGGGCUCUGCACGGGCAGCCAUUGUGCUCGCUGGUGAUGCGUCAAUGUAUGAGAACGAGGGAGAGAAAGGAAGUGGUGCGGUCGACCUCAUGCACACGGAACCGCCGCUGCGCUUUUUUGUUUCUUCUGCCGCCGCUGCCACCGCCUCCCUGCCCUUCCCCUCCCCUCCACGCCGCCUCCCCAACGCUUUUCAGAUGUGCCACUCCUGUCGACGCCAUCGCGCAGCCUGUCUUAUCUCUUUCUCCGUCGCAGAGAUGGGCGCGACGACAGCUGCUCACGUCUUUCGACACGAUGUCACAUACGUCGCCUUCACCCUCUCCUUCCGUGCGCGGUUUGGGGCCUCUUCCUGCUCUCCUCCACGUCUCCCCGCUGUUGCCCCCAUCUCCCUAUGCCUCCGUGUCGGAGCCCGUGGUCGAGUCACCCGGGUCAACGCGGCGGCAGGGGCCAGACGGACGCGGAGGCGUUGGUAAGAGGAAGGUGGACGGUGGGUUCGAGCACACGCUCACGAGUGUGCGUUACGCACAGAACAAGCGCACGUGAGCGUAAAGAUCACGCACUUCGGCGUACAGUAGGGCAGCAGCCGUAGAAGAGGAUGCCCAUUGCGAGGAUAAUGGCGUAUGCUCGUCUGAUCAUUGCCCACUUGCAAGCUGGUACGCGUGUACGCCUUCACGAAGGGGACGAGGGGCGGAGUAGAUGGGCGGUGCGCCGUGCAACAACACACUCCUCUCUAGCGCUCCAUAUCCCAUCAAUGCCACCUCGCACGAGUUUCGCUUCAUGCAGGACACAGGUUGAGGGGCAUGGGUGUCGGACUGCAGAGGUCCAUCCCCCCUCCCUCCCUCACCCGCUCUUCCCUCGGCCCCUCCUCUAUGACCUCUCUCGCGCGCACACACACACACAGACCGGCAUACUUGGUUCGCUGAUCUUCGGCUUCUUCUUUAUUUGGCAUCCCCCCUGCCCGUAAUCAUCCUGCCCUUUACUCCUGCUUUGGAUCCCUCCUGCCCUGCCCCUCCUGGCACGGCACUCGAGCACGCGCACACACGCCAUCACAAACGUGCAAGCCGCGGCCGGAUGAUCGUGAUGGUGACAUUGAUGUAUCACGGAAGCCGCAACUAGUCCUUCCACGACGCCGCCGUCCUACUCCGCUGUCUCGCCAGACGCGCUUCCUUUU